rnacentral:misc_RNA from 1 species
UUGGAGUUCUAUAAAUGGGAUGGUGACCUUUCCCAACUAUUGCAGAAUGUUAGGGACAAGUUGAAUAAAGUUGCUGAGAGCUGGACUAGAGAAGAGAAGAACCAUUGUUUGGAAGAAACUGAAAAGUCAUUCAAAUAUUCAGGGGCGAUCCUUCGUCUAAUAUUAUCGUGAUGUGGAUGGUUCCUUGAUCUCCUUGUAAUGUUGUGUAACCAUGCGCAAGCUUAAGUAUCCAAGUUUAUAUCGAAAACAUUUUAUUUUUCUUUGCAGCAGUAUUCUUCAGUGAAAUCAAAAUGCUGUUCUUGUACAUUAUAACUUCAUCCAUGACAUGAAUAAAUUAGACGAAGGAUCG